GAACUCUUAAAGAGGCAGCGCCAUAAAACGGCGGUUGUGGGGAUGAAGAAUGAAGAAUUCCAAAAGAAGAAUUCUAUUCUUCUUUUCUACAGGAGACCAGUACCUGAAUGAACUGAAGACUGCUGCGCAAUAUAACGAAAUUAUACGUCCUGUUCCUGCUCUGCAGUACAACUCUGCCAUAUCCAGAAGUAUGGAAGCUAUGCCCAGGGGGCCAGGAGUGCCACGUAUUAUGGUCACGAGGAGCAUACCUUGCCAGCUGUGCAGCAUGAUCGCCAAAAGCCAUUCAGGGAAACGGGCUGCCUCCCUAAAGCACAGAUCGCAGAGACAAAAUUAUAAUACAGUUGAUAUUGAGCUAACAAUAACUGGAACAUAAAUUGAAACCUUGAGUCAAGAAGACAACAACGGCAAUGCUUGGAGCUUCUACAACUUGUACUAGCUGUACUUUUAGAAAUAAAUUAUACCAACCAAUUAACAUUUGGAGCCAGAAUGCUAACCACAUACUGGAAAAUUAGUUACCUGACUCUGAGUGCAAGAUAUGGAAUGUGGUCGUGUCACUAGAGUUUAAAAUCCCGUAUUUUGCAUCCUCUAAAGGUCACAUUCAUUAAACACCCUGUCUAGCAUUCCAUCCAUGCGAUGACACUUUCCAAAGCAGUGCGUUAAAAAACAUUUCAGUGUUAUGUUUUCACUUUUUCAGUGCAUCAUUAAUAAAUGGUUUUUCAUGGGUGAAAUAGCUGAGUGAAUGCAGCACUGCUUUGUUUGGUGAAAUUUUAUA